UGUCAUCUGUAAGCAGCUCAUUUUGCCAUUGAUUGUUGACCAUUGCAGAGGAUUUGCUGACCAAGUCACUGCCAAUUAUCAGAGCAGACAUAGCCUGGAUU